GGUGCUCGAUCUGGCAGCAGAGACUAAAUCAACACUACAGAGAAGAUUAGCAUGGCUCCUGCUCAAGGGUGAUGCACAGCUCCAUGAAGCAUUCCAUAUUAAA